ACACUUUACUCUUUCAGCUAAACUAUGGCUAUCUGUUGCUUGCCCCCUAGCUGCUCGGACAUGAACAUACGGAAGCUUCUCUGAGGUAUCAUUUGCUGAUUUUUUGCUCUUUUUGCUACUGCUUUCUUUCCCCUGAAUUCCACAUAAUUCAUUCAGAAUUUAAGCUUGACCACUACAUCGGCCUUUGAGGCCAUUCCUUGUGAUAAAUCAAUAAUUUAUCAUAAUUAAGUAGUUAUAAAAAAUUGAGGUGAAAUUACAUACUAAAUUAAUCACAAAUUCACAAUGAGGUGAUAUAAGUUCCUACAUACUAAAAAAAAAAUGGCACAUACUAUAAUUUACCUUUUUCUGGCGUUCUUUUCGCUUUGUGGUUUUCUGAUCAAAAGUUGGAUUUGAAAAUUCGGGAGAAGAAUUAGGAUUGGAAUCAGAAUCAACUGGUUCUUGCUUCACGAAUUGUGAGUCGGACGGAAAUGAGCCAUUCUCCGACGAAUUCCCGGCGGCGAAGACUGAGAACUCUCCGGCAGACGUUCUGUCAAUUAGAGGAGAAGAGUAGUAGGGCUUGUUAUGAGUCUCUGGUAGAGAAAGUUUAGCUGAACCCAUUUCGUCAGAAUGUACCAAAAGGUCCAAAGCAUGAUUUGGUGGCAAUUCAAGUAAAGCAGUAAAAGAAUUUCCAGCAGUUUCCAUUGGUACUGGCAUUAUUAUGCUCUGGCCUUCACCGCCACGAUGAUGAAACCCAGUUGCCGUUUCUCCUUCUUUGCCGCCGCAACUUGCGGAUCUAACUUGAGUUGACUCCAUUUUACAGCUUUUUGCGGCAAAUUUUCAAAAUAAGUAGGCACCAACGGAUCAAAAUACAGUGCGAGUCCUUUCCAAUGACCAACUAUAUAUUAUACUCUACUUAAAUCCGAGAAGUUGAGUAGUUUCAAGUCAAAGAGCUGUAGAGAGGGGUAAAACUUGGAUUAUACUUCAAGAAUUUUUUGUUGGUAUUCAGAAUUUUGUAGUAAUAAGGAGCUUAAGAAGCUUCAAUGGUGGUAAAUAUCUUUCCGUCUGCUUAAAAAGGCAUUCUUCGUUGCUACAGCCGAUACCGAUGCCGAUGCCGAUGCCGAUGCCGAGCAAGUAAAUUGUUGUUAUAUAUGGGAAAGCAACGUUUGCUUUGGUUCUCUCUCUGCCCAUCUUUUAAAGGCUACAUAAUAAGCUGGAGGUUAGUAGGGGUAGCAGGAGGCUUAUUUCUAAGGAUUUGAACCUCAAUUUUUAAUUCUUAAAUAUUUAGAUUUCUUUGAGUAUGAUAAGUGCUAAUUAAGUUACUAAUUCCUCAAUUUUUAAUUCUUAAAUAAUUAGAUUUCUUUUAGUAUGAUAAGUGCUAAUUAAGUUACUAAUUCUUUUUAUGAAGUAUUCGAAAUCACCCUCAAAGUUAUUAAGGUCCCAUUUGGUUAUACAUUUUGGCAACGUUUUUUAAAAAAAAAAUUUGAAAAUAUUAUUUAUUUAUAAAUUAAUGAUUUAUUUUUGAAAAAAUUUUAAAAUUAUUUUUUAACUUUCCAAAAUCUAGUUUUGGGUUGAUUUUGGGUGAAACUUGUUCUCCCACUCAUAAAACUUCAAUUUUUUUCAAACAAAAUGCAUGUCGUCCAAAAAUUAUUUUUCAAAACUACUUCAAAAAUUAUUUUUUUAAGUUUCAACUACAUCUAUCUCCAAACGCUAGCUAAAAAAAUGAUUUGGCCACGCACAAUCUCAAAAUUCUUGGAGUUGGCAAAGAAAUUUAUGUGGAUGUCACGAUCCAAAAUUCUACUUCAGGUCACGAUGGCACCUACAUACUUGCUAAGCAAAUCAACUCACAAUCAAUAGAACAAAGUCCAAUUUUCUUUAAUUAACAAAGUCAUAUCAUAAAUAAAGACCAAAAAGAUCUCGAUACAAUAUAAUAUAUGAUACAAUCAGAACAUGGUGUGAACACGAUUAAAACAGUACAACCCCCAAAAAACCAGGUGACACAGGCAUACAAUCAACUACUGAUCAGUACAAAUUUGAAUACAUAGUCACAGUUGUCUGAGAAAAAGUAAAUAGACAGGACAUAACAAAAGGCAUGGACUCAAGCACUUUAACAUGAAUCCAUGAGGUGCAACUCGCCCUAAGUCUCUGAGCAAUCACCUAGGCCCAACAAAAUGCUCCGCUAAAAUUCACUCGAAGAUAUGCACAAUAAGAUGUGCAGAAGUAUAGUAUGAGUAUACAACACUCGAUACUCAAUAAGUAUCAAGUCUAACCUCGAAAAAGUUGUGGCGAGGCUAUACGCAUUAUGACACUUACAACACAUAUAUAGAUCAUAAAGACCGAAACAGAAAUAGUAAGCAAUCUCACAAGUGGGGCAUACGCUACUCAGAUAUGGUAUUUAAAGAUGGCAUACUUCAAUCAACGGAGUCGAGGCUCCUAACCAGCAUAUAUAGGUGACAUGCAACAAAUAGAAUUAAUGCUUCUAAAUGAAUCAAGGAUAUCUAUGCGUACUCAAGACCCAACCUUUUACCUGAACCUGUUCAAGAUCUAUGUACCCUGAUAUAAAAUUUAUGUAUCACUAAACCCCGUUACAAAAUGCAUGUAUCCACCUGAUAUAUAAUCCAUGUAUCGACCACGCUCAUAGGUCCAAAUUAUUAUGGGUAAUCACCUGACUAUGGAGGAUUGAUAUGCAAAUAGGAGUUUAAUAGCAUCACUCAUAAUCAAAAUAUUAUCUCAUCAUGUCCUAUGCGAUAAACCGGUAAUUGUAUUUCAAACUCACUCUGGGCCACAAUUUCAGUCCGAAUCAAGUAUCCAGUUAUAGCACAUAUACAUGUGCCCAAGAAUUAAUAGAAUAGAGAUGCACAAUGACUUAACAAUAAUCAUGCGAAUAUGUGCUUAUAAAACCUUAUAUGAAUAUGGAUGAUUUAAGCAAUUCAACAUAUAAAGAAUAAGUUCCCAUGCCUUUAUAAAUAAUCAUGACAAAGGCAUGAUCUCCAAUAUGGAUAAGAGAGUGGUUGUAGUCAUAUAAUCCAAACAAAUCCUGAAUCAAGAAAAGAACAUAAUUAAAACAAGGCUUAAAGUAUAUAAGCUCUAACCUAGGCAUGAUAUAAACUCGAUACGUGCAUAUAUGCUCGCCACCAUGUAUUUACACCAUCCCAAUAACUUAAACACAUAGCAAUCAAGUCAAUUCUAGGAGUUUCCUUCUUAACAAGGUUAACCAAGAGUUUUACCUCUUUCUGGUCUAGUUCCAACAAUAAAUCGUUUCAAAACCUUGCUCUAGCUUCCAAUCACGCAAAAUCCAAGCCAAACAUCAUCCAACAAAGUCAAAAAAUUCCAUACGAAGCGACUCCAAUCCAUAAAUCUUCAAUCUUUGAUGAAUUCCCAUAAAGUCAACAAAAGCCAACUCGGACUCACGUGCCCAAAAUUCAAAAUCAAUACUAAAAUUCAAUGACCCAUCACCUGUUGAGUCCAAGUAUAUAAUUAAUCUUCAAAUUUUGCCCAAAUCGAUGGUCAAAACUCCAAAAUUUACUCUCUUAAAGUGUAGACAAAAACCGCACUGAUUUUUGAAAAUCCCAUAUUUUCGAUCUAGAAAUCUAUGUAAAAUCUUGUAAUAUAAUCACAAAUAUGUAGAAAUCACUUGUCAUUUUGACUUAUAUGAAUAUUUCCACAAAAAAUCGCUCAUCUCCAAGUUUAUAGCCCAAAAUAUGAAAGAAUGGAUGAAAAUCCCAAAAUAUAACACAUAUGUAUUAUGAGCAGCGAUACCCUUCGCGAACGCGGUACAAGCCUCGUGUUCGCGAAGCACAACUCUGCAACUACUCCAAAUCCUUCUUCGCGCCCGGAGAAGAAACCUUGUGAUCAUGAAGCUCAACCAGAUCUCGCUCUACAUAAAUGCUACUGAAGUAAUGCGAACACGAUGACCCAACUUCCCACCUGACUCCAUUCCUAAGCGAACGCGAAAGAAAUUCUAUGAUCUCAAAGAACACAUCUCUAGCUCCCAGAAUGCACGUUGCGAACGUGUCCGACUAACCGUGAAUGCAAAAAAUAAUGCCCAUCUAACUAGAUCUUUUUCUACAAUCAUGGAGCAAGAUGCACUGCACAACAUCAACACAUCAGUUAAGCAAAACUCAACUAAAAAGGUCUGAAACCACCCAGAAUCAAAUCCAAGCCCCUCGGGACCCCUUCCAAUCAUAUCAACAAGUCCAAAUACAAUAUACAAACUUAUUAAAGGCUCGAAACACUGCAAAUAUCAUCAAAACUAUGAAUCGAAGAUCAAAAUCAUUCUCUUAACUUUCCAAACAUACUAACUUUUCCAGACUUGUCUGAAUCACACUUAGAUAUUCCGGAUUAUAACCAAACUUUAAACACAAGUUCUAAUAAACAAAAUGAACCUAUGCAAACUCUCAAAAUUGAGUUUGAUAACACCAACGUCAACUUCCGGUCAAACCGGUGAACUUUUCAAUUAUUCAAAUUUCCAACUUUCAACAAAUAUAUCCAUAACCCUUCUACGAACAUCUGAAUUCAAAUCCGAACAUACGCCCAAGUCAAAAAUAACCAUAUGAACCUAUUGAAACCAUCAAAUUCUGACUCUGAGAUUAUUUACUCAAAAGUCAGGGCUUGUUCAACUUUUCCAACUUAAACCGUUCCAAUUGAAUAUCAUUCUACCAAAUCAGUCCCAAACCCUGCGAACAUAUAAAGAAACCAACCAUAUAUGCAGGUCAUAAUACAUUAUACAAAGAUACUCAAAUCACAAGCUACUGAACAAAAUACUAAGCUCAAAGUAACCGAUCGGGUUGUUACAUUCUCCCCAUUUAAGCAUGCGUUCGUCCUUGAACGUGACAAGAAUCGUUCCAAAGUCAUCAAAUAACGACACAAUCUCAUCAUACACACGCCCAUAAGCAACCUCAUACUACCACAAUCCAUAUAAGUCUAUAAAUACAAUCCAAAUGAAGAUUCUUCCUUCCAUUUUAGCUUAUAAUCCUUAGACUAAAUUCCAACAGUCAGAACUUCCUCUUAGCUCCAAUUCUUGCAUAUAUACAUUGUAUCAAUCUCAACAAGAUGCACCAAACCAUAGGUAUAUUCCCAAUAUAGAACCACACUAUGUGCCAUGUCGCUCAUGUACUCAUUCUCAUUACCAAACUCGGUAUUGGCAAUAUACCUCAUAAAUAAUAUAACCUUUUUCCAACUAUGUGCAACACUUUUAAUGAUAAAUAAACCUAUAGAAACUCAUAACCAUCCAUUAAAUCAAUGAUUCAUGGAGUUCUCUUGCUCGACAAGAACCAUUGCCAAAUUCAAAGAAGAUUAGUGACAUUAUUCUUCAAAAACAUAUAUUAUACAAAUCUGAUUGUACUGAUUCUAGGUAUGAUAGCCUCGUCUCAUCACACAUAAGAUGCUCGACCGAAAAGACACAUCAAAUACCAUCAUGAAUCCCAUACAACAUGAUUCAUGCACCAUACCAGCAACUACUCUAGUAUGAUCAACAAUGAAGAGAUAACCAUAAAGGAACUUAUCCAAUGAAUUUAACAGAUAAGAUAAUAAUAGCAUAAUUCUAUGAAUUUGUCUCAUAAGGGAGAAACAAGAUACACAAAAUGAGCACAAGAAAUCAUAUAAAAUAUAAAUCUAUUGCGGCAUGCAAUCUGAUCCAUAUAUAAUAUCGUUGUAGUAUGCAAACCAAUCCAAAUAGAGCUCAUACUUCGUAAAUACACAUAUCAUCAACAAGUAUGUACCAUGCAAAAACAUAACCAUGGGGAGGCAGAUAGCAUAACUGUCACGACCUAAACUGGAGGGUCAUGACUAGCACUAGGGUCAUACUUUCCGAGCACUAACUUACAUUUUAUCUAACCUUCCUUGCUUAUUUUAAGGGUCGACGAAGUUAAUAUAAAUAGUAGACAUAAAUCAUGAACAACCAAUAAUGAAAAAUAAUGGCAUGAACAUACAUAACAUGGGACGUAAAAUUUUCAUGAAACUAUAUAUAAGGUACGAGCUGCCAAGUUGUCACGAGAGAUUAUAUAACAAAAAUCAACCGAUAAGGCUUUCCAAACUAUACAUGAGUCGACACCUUUCUAUGAAUCUUAAAGGAAUAUAAGUGUUGCAGUAUUGCCGGAACAUGGCCCUGACAUACCCAUAAUGUCUAUAACAAAAGUUCAUACCAAGACCACGACAAGUCUGGAGAAGGGAUCUCGCCAAUAACCGCUAAAACUGGACAACAUACUGUGGUGGGGGAGCUUUGCAUGUUUGUCUAUCAGGACCUGCACCAUGACAUACCGCGUCCACAAAUAAAAGGAUCGUCAGUACGAAUAAGUAUCGAGCAUAUAAAGCAGGAAAGCAUAAAUAAGAAUAGUAAUGUAAAUAGGGAUAAAGAAUAUACAACUUGUAACAUCUGAGUACUUUUUAGGGCUACUAACAUGCAAUGCAUGAUACAUAUAUAUACAUAAACUUUUAAAAAAACAUACGCCUCUGUGGGCAUCAUCAUCAUAUCAUACUAGGUCGUAAUAGGCUCAGUAAAAAUGUACCAGGCUAUCAUAAGGCUCGGUAGAAUUGUACCCAUUCACCUGGAGCUCGGUAAAAUCCGACUGAUAAGUUGUUACAUAAUAAAGUCGUACUCAGCCAACUAUAGUGCAGCUCGGUAGAGUAAAAUAGGUACAUAUAUAUAAUGCAUGCUGGACUCAUUGGAAUCACAUUCUAAACUUCUCAGUGAUAUAAGGUCGGUAUCCUCCGUGCACACUAUUAGGACUAAAUAUUCAUCAUGAAUCUUAUAAUAAUCAGGAAUUACCAACAACAUUGAUAUCAUAAGAAUAAGAGAAGCAAUAUCAAUAUCAAUCGUUCCAUAAGAAAGGAAACAAUGUAAGUAUUGCUAGCUUCUAAGAGUGGAGUAUCUUUGAAAGCUCGUUCAUUACAUUAUGUAUAAUAAGAGUCUUCAAAUAGAAAGAAAGGGAUAGCCUCACAUACCUUGUAUAUAAUUUUCAACCUCAAGCUAUGCAAUUGUCACGACUCUUUAGUCUACAACAAGAUAAAUGACAUCGUUUAAUCGUCGUAACUAUUAAUAUAUUUGAUUGCAACCUAUCUUACAAUGAAACAGACAUCACCUCCCAUAUUUAUGGCUUCCCAAAAGCCCAAACAACAUCAACAAUAACUAUAUUAAUACUCCCAAGAUAGUCCACCAACCAACAACAUUACUAACAAGCCUUUCGAUAGAUAACUCACAAGUUCUAGCUUCAACGACUUAGCCGCAAAUUGGAUAAUCUUAAAUACAUAUAGGUAAGAGGUUCCUUACCUUAAACAGAAAGAAAGAAUCCCAUUUGACCUUAAUUGACAUGAAAUAUCCUUCUAAUGGUGCCAAAAGAAUAAGGAAGCGAAACUAGCAAUUAAUUAGGGGUUUUCAGCACUAGAAUCACUUUAGAAGACUUGAAAUCACCUAGGGUUGAUAUUAAAAACUUGAGAGAGUAUUUCAAAGAACUUAAACCACUUAAAAAAACCUCCCACACGAGAUGGAACCACCCAAAAAUCAUUAAGAACAAGAAGAAUAAGAAACUUACUAGCGUGGCAGGAUUUUCGACACUUGAUUUGUGUUGUUUGCCAUUUGUUUGGCCUUGGAUCAUAAGAGAAUUUCAAAGAGUGUUUUUAGGAUUCUAUGGUCUGAAGCUACUGAAAAAUAAUAAGUUAAAAUGAGGUUAAGUCCUCUUAUAUAUAUCCAUAUAUCUCAACCGCCUAUGUUGGUCCCAUAUAGAGCUGCUUGGCACAGUCUUGCAAUAACGCAAAUAUCUCUCUUCUAAGGAGUCAUAUCGAUGAAUGGUUUAAUGAUUUCGAAACUAGACUCAUAUAUCUUCAUGUUUAUGGGUAGAUCAUCCCAUAAUUCCAAGUAAAUUGGGAAAAAAUCUUAGUAACAUUUGACCUAAAGUUUAAGUAAAUUUAUGAACAUAAGUUACGACAACUUUUGCCAACUUUUUUUUCAUAACUUGUUUGAAUUCAAGACUUGUGAUGCAGAAUUAUAUGAUUCAAAUGACUUAAACACGAACUCUUUAGAAUAUAAGCACGUCUAGUUUUACCCAAAAAUACGGGUUACAACAUCCUCGAUUCGUUUAACUUCUAAUACUUGUUAACCACUCUUAUACACCAUUGUAUCGUUUAAGACCAAUAGAAUUAACUGCUUAUCAUAUCAAAAUAAUCUCUUCUUGGAUUUAUGUCAACUAACUUACGGCAUGAUCUAACACACAUAAUUAUGGGUUGUAACACCCUUCCCCUUUAGGAACAUUUGUCCUCGAAUAUCAGGAUUUAUGGGGAGCCUAAUUCAUCGUGGAUUCCAAUAGAAUUUUUUGGUUGAGUUUCCCCUAUAAAAUGGACACUAGCUAGACUUACAAGUAGUUAAAUCCAACUUAUGGCGUCACAAGGCUAUACAAAGUAUAAUGGAUAUGUACAUUAUCUGCAUAUCACCAUUUUGUAUCAAGGAAGAGUAUUCUCAAGCUAUUGCUUACCUCAUAGAGUCGUUUCACCUUCUAAUGCUUGCGCUCCCCCAGCAUCCUCGUUAUCUUCAAUAUGGAAUAGGUAACGACAUUUAUACUUCAUCUCCUUUUCUCCUUCCUGUGUCAUUUCUUAUGUAUUCUUGUUCCUCCAUAAUACUUUGACAAAAGCUACAUUCUUAGUUCUCAGCUUGCGAACUUGUCGAUCUAAUAUAGCCACUGGAACAUGGAACAUGAUAGAUCCUCCGUAACUUGUACAUAUUUGAUGGGGAUGACCCGAGAAGGGUCUCCAAUGCAUUUCCUCAACAUAGAUACAUGGAAUACCGGGUGGACAAAUUCCAAUUUGGAUGGCAAUUCUAACGCAUAAGCAACCUGUCCAAUUUGUUGAAGAAUUUUGUACGGCCAGAUAUACCACGGGCUCAGCUUAACUUUUUUCCCAAAAUGCAUAACACCCUUCAUCGGUGAGAUCCUCAGGAAAACCCAAUCAUCAACCUCAAACUCCAAAAUCACGACAUUAGACAUUAGAAUAAGACUUUUGCCUUCUUCGCACAGUCUUCAGUUGCUCUUGUAUCACUUUCACCUUCUCAAUGGUUUGGUAAAUCAAAUCUGGCCCAUAUAAUUCUAUUUCACCGACUUCGAACCAUGCAACUGGUGAUCUAUAUCUCCUCCCAUAGUGCCUCAUACGAGGCAAUUUUAAUGCUGGAAUGGUAGCUAUUAUUGCAGGCAAAUUCUAUGAGUGGAAGAUGGUCAUCCCAAUUCCCCUUAAAAUCUAAAACACAUGCUCGUAGCAUAUCUUCAAGUGUUAGAAUGGUACAUUCAGCCUGUCCGUCAGUCUGCGAAUGGAAUGCAGUGCUGAGAUUCACUUAUGUUCCUAAACCCUUCUUAAAAGGCUUCCAAAAGUUAGCCGUAAUUUGAGCUCCUUGGUAUGAUAUAACAGAUAUUGGCACACCAUGAACCCUAACAAUCUCCUUGAUAUACAACUUCGCAUAAUCUUCAGCCGUGUAAGUUGUCUUAAGUGGCAGAAAAUGGGCUGAUUUUCUAAGUCAAUCAACUAUCACCCAGAUGGAGUCAAACUUACGAUAAGAGCGAGGUAACCCAAUAAUGAAGUCCAUAUUGAUUACCUCCAAUUUCUAGUUCGAAAUCUCUAUAUUCUAAAUUAGUCCAUUGAGUUUCUGAUGCCCGAUCUUUACUUGAUGACAAUUAGGACACUGGGCUACAAAUUCUACAACAGUCUUCAUGUUAUACUACCAAUACUGCUCCUUAACGUCAUGAUACAUCUAUGUUAAGCUGGGAUGGAUGGAAUAUCGGGACUGAUGAAUCUCAAUCAUAAUCUUCUCUCGCAACCAUCCCUUAUUAAGCACAUAUAAUCAGCCUUGGUAUCUCAAUGCCCCAUCUCCUCCGAUCUCGAAAGCCAUAAUUUUACACUGUUGAAUGCUCUCUCUCAAUCGUACUAAGGUAGGAUCUUCAUAUUGUCAUGUUUUUACCUCAGCUACCAAAGAUGAUGUUUAUAUAUUCUGUACAAUAAUACCUUCGUCAUCAGAAUCUAACAAUUUUAUUCUCAUGUUGGCCAGUUGGUGAAGCUAUUUAGUCAAGUCUUGUCUACUUGCCUCAAUAUGUACUAAGAUUCCCAUAGACUUACAGUUGAGAGCGUCUGCCACAAUAUUGGCUAUACCGAGAUGGCACAAUAUCUUGACAUCUUAGUCUUUCAGUAAUUCAAGCCACCCAUGCAACCUCAAAUUCAACUCCUUCUGCUUGAAGAUGCAUUGUUAACUCUUGUGAUCUGCGUAGAUGUCAACAUGGAUGCCAUAUAAGUAGUGAUGUAGUAUCUUCAAAGCAUAUAUUACUGUAGCCAAUUCCAAAUCGUGAGUCGGGUAAAUCUUUUCAUGUUUCUUCAAUUCUCUCGAUGCAUAUGCAAUUACCUUCCUGCGUUGCAUCAAUACAUGCCCCAAACCUAUACCUGAGGCAUCACAAUAUACCACAUAACCUUUUGUUCCUCCUAAGAGAGUGAGCAUUGAUGUGGAUGUCAAUCGAUUCAUUAGCUUCUAAAAACUACAUUCACAAGCAUCAGCCGUAGCUUUUUGUGAUAACUUAGUCAAUGGUUAUGAUAUAGAGGAAAAUCAUUCUAAAAACUGCCUAUAGUAUCUUGCUAGCCCAGGAAACUGCGGACUUCUGACGGUGUUAUAAGUAUCGACCAAUUCUUUACUACAUCGAUCUUCUGAUUGUCGAUACUAAUACCCUCAUCAGAUAUCAUGUGGCCAGGAAAUGCUACUAAGUUCAUCCAGAAUUCAGAUUUGGAGAGCUUAGCAUAUAACUUAUGAUCUUUAAGGGUCGUUAAUACAAUCCUCAAGUGGCUUGUGUGGGUGUUUGGUGUGGAGCCCCGAGGGCUCGGGUAAGUUUUGGGCAUUCAGAAGGAUGUAAAGCACUUCAGUUUUUCUGGUGUUCCUUUGAAGCAAUUGCAAGUCUUACAAAUGCGAGAAUUUGUUCUCAUUUGCGAACCUCAUAUUUUCGAGAGGCCUUCACAAUUGCGAAGAAGCCCGACCUAGGCAGUGCUCGUAUUUGUGACACUUUGUUCUCAUUUGCCAACUCAAUAGAGUCCGCAUUUGCGACUCCUUGGUUGCAUUUGCAACCUUGGCAGCCUAAGCCUAGGUUCGCAUUUGUGAUGGAUUUGUCACAUUUUCAAGCCAGGUGUCGCAAAUACGACAUCUGAGACCUGUGCACAGCUUAUUAAUUGCAAGACUUAGACCAUCUAGCUCAUUUCUUUCAUCUAGAGAAAGCGUAUGACAUGGUUCCUAGGGAGGUCUUAUGGAGCUGCUUAGAGAUUAAAGGGGUCCCGGUUGCCUAUAUUAUGGUGAUUCAAGACAUGUAUGAUGGAGUUAAGACUCGAGUUAGGACAGUAGGAGGUGAAUUCGAGCAUUAUUUGGUUGUUACAGGGUUGCACCAAGGGUCUGCGUUCAGCCCUUUACUAUUUGCCCUAUUGAUGGAUGCCAUAACACUCAUAUUCAAGGGGAGGUGCCAUGGUGCAUGCUAUUUGCUGAUGACAUAGUCCUAAUUGACGAGAUACGAUGUGGUGUCAACGAGAGGCUAGAGGUUUGGAGACACACCCUUGAGUCUAAAGGUUUCAGGUUGAGCAGGACGAAGAUGGAAUACCUCAAGUGCAAAUUUAGGGCCGAGACGAUGGAAGCGUGAGUGGAAGUAAAGCUUGACUCUUAAGUCAUCCCUAAGAGGGGUAGUUUCAAGUACCUUGGGUCAGUUACUCAGGGGAUCGGGGAGAUUGAUGAGGAUGUCACACACCGUAUAAAGGUGGGGUGGAUGAAGUGGUGAUUAGAGACCAGAGUCUUGUGUGACAAGAAAGUUCCACCAAUACUAAAAGGUAAGUUUUAUAGAGCAGUGGUUAGGCCUGCCAUGUUGUAUGGGACCGAGUGUUGGCCGGUUAAGAACUCACACAUCCAGAAGAUAAAAAUAGUAGAGAUGAGGAUGUUGAGGUGGAUGUGCGGACAUAAAAAGGAUGGAUAAAAUUAGGAAUGAAGAUAUUCGAGAGAAGUUGGGCGUGGCCCCCAUGGAGGACAAGAUGCAAAAAGCAAGAUUCAGAUGGUUCGGGCACGUUCAAAGGAGGAGAACUGAUGCACCAGUGAGAAGGUGGAAGGUGUGAGCAACUAGCUGUGGCGGCACGAGGAGAGGUAGAGGGAGACCUAAGAAGUAUUGGGGAGAGAUGAUUAGGUAGGACAUGGAACGACUUAGGAUUACUGAGGACAUGGCCUUUGAUAGGGAAUUGUGGAGGUUGAGCAUUAAGGUUGUAGGUGUGACGACCAAAAGGGGUCAUUACUUGUUUUCUUACCUAUUUUGUACUUUCGAGGCCUUGAAAACCUCCUUUGGGUUUGCCUCGAUUUCCGUGUGCAGUCCGUGUGCGUAGAUGUAAAGCUUAGAUAUGGAUUUUGUAAAAUCUCCUACGGGUUUGCCUAGAUUUCCGUGUGCAUUCCGAGUGCGUAGCUGGAAAGCUUAGAUAUGGAUUCUAUGAGGAAAAUGCUAAAUUUUGAUAUUAAAUUGAAUAAAUUUGACUUCGGCCGACAUUUUGGGUAAUUGGACAAUCUCGGAGGAUCCAUAGGAAAUAUGGGACUUGGGCGUAUGUCCGAAAUGGAAUUCCGAGGUCCCAAACCCGAGAAAUGAAGUUUUGCGUGAAAUUGUUUUCUGGAAAUAAUUAAGGAAAUUGAAAGUGAAAUUUGAUUAAAGGAUUAUUGUAUCGGGUCCAUAUUUUGGUGUCGGUGACUAGUAUAAGUCUUAUAUAUGAUUUAAGCACUUUCUGUUAAGUUUGGUUGAAAACGGACGUCAUUUGACGUAUUUCAGACUUAAAAUGGAAAUUUGAUGUUCUAUGAAAACUUGGAAUAAAUUAUGAGUUUUGAGGCUUAAUUCGAUGUAUACAAUGUUAUUUUGGCGAUUUGAUUGCACGGAUAAGUUUGAAGGAUGUUUUUGAGGUUUUGUGCGUAAUUGGUUUGGAGUUCCGAGGGCUUGGGUGAGUUUUGGAUUGGUGUCAAAUUGCAUUUUUGAACUUAUAGAAAAUUUGGUAUUUUGCUUUUGUGGCCUACGCAUUUGCAAAGAAAAGCGUCGCAAUUGCGAGCUUGCAAAUGCGAGCUUUGUGUCACAAAUGCGAAGCCUUGGACCUGGGCAAAGGAUCGCAAAUGCGAUCCAUUUUCUUGCAAAUGUGAACGAGGGAUUUCUGGGCUCUGAUUGCAAAUGCGAUCACUGUGCUCGCAAAUGCGGAAAUAGGUUGAUCGCAAAUGCGAUCCUUAUGCUCGCAAAUACGAAACUUAGAAAAUUAGUAUGGAGUCGCAAAUGAAAACCCAGCUUUUCAUUUCCCACUUAUUGUGAACCCCAGUUCGCAAUUCCUAUAUCUGCAACCUACAAAUUUUAUACUUAGUCGAAAAUUGGACAUGUUUCAGCCUAUGCACAACUCCUUUGGGUGAUUUUCAAAGAACAAGACCUCUUCCAAGUCGUUUGUAAGUUGGUUUUUACUUAUUUCUUUAAAUCUUUAACAUCAUUUAACAUGUUUUCAAGUUAAAAUCAAUGAUUUUCAUGAGUGAAAUAGGAGGUUUGGGGUAAAACCUAGGUUUUUCUAAAAUUAGGGAUUUGGACCUCAAUUUGAGGUUCGAUUUAAAAAAAUAUAUAUAUUUGGGUUCGUGGGGGAAUGGGUAACCGGAUUUUUGUUCUAACCUCGGGUUUUGACCAUAUUGACCUUGAGGGAUGUUUUGGUUAUUUUACCUAAAUUUGCGUCUUAGCUUUAAAUUGAAUAAUAGAAUCAGUUGUUUGAGAUGUUAUUUAUGAGAUAUAAUUGAAAUGAAUAGAUUUUGGCCAUUUGGAGCCGGAUACACGUGGCAAACAUCUGGUUUCAAUAUGACUUGGAGCCAAUUUGAGGUAAGUGGCUAGUCUAACCUUGUGUGGGAAGAUGUAAUUGAAAUGAAUAGAUUUGGGCCAUUUGGAGUCGAAUACUUGUGGAAAACGUGUGGUUUCAAGUUGAAUUGGAGCCGGUUUCAGGUAAGUGGAUUGUCUAACCUUGUGUGGGGACCUUCCCCUCAGGAUAUGGUGUUUGUAAAUUGAAUGCCUCGUACGUGAGGUGACAAGCGCGUACUUGAGCCAAAAUGUUGGAAAAUCCAUUUUUACUUGAUAUAUUUAAAUUGAGUUUUCUUGCUUACCUGUUCAUUUUAAAUUGUAAAUUUAUUCUAUGCUAGUUUAGGCAUGUUCAUUUGGCUUGCUUGCCUAAGUGUUUAAUUGUCAUAUUUGUACUCCGCAUAGUAUAUUUGGAUAGUAUUUUCUAUUUUUCAUGUUCAUUUGACUUGCUUGCCUAAGUGUUUAAACUAUCUUAUUUGUACUCCACGUAGUAUGUUGGCUAGUAUUUUCUAUUUCUUGUCCAGAGUUAGUAUAUUUCCUAAUGUUCCGAGUUGCUACUGUAUGUUUUUAAAUGGGACUACGCGUUGGCCCCUGCACUUAAUAUGUUCUGGACUAAGGGUGCAGGAUACCAAGAGAUCCCUGACACAUGAAAUUGUGAGAUUUGAGGAUACCAAGAGAUUCCUGGAACAUGAAAUUGUAAUAUUUGAGGAUACCAAGAGAUCCUCGGGAUACCAAGAGAUCCUCGGGAUACCAAGAGAUACCUGGCACAUGAAACUGCAAGAUUUUAGGAUACCAAGAGAUCCUCGGAAUACCAAGAGAUCCAUGGCACAUGAAAUUGUAAGAUUUCAGGAUACGAAGAGAUACUCAGGAUACUAAGAGAUCCCUGGCUCAUGAAAUUGUAAGAAUUGAGGAUACCAAGAGAUCCUCCGGAUACCAAGAGAUUCCCGAUCGUGAGUAGUAUUUACUAGUAUUGUCCUGUUUUUCUACUUUCUAUUACGGUUUCCUUACUUAUCUUGUUUAGAUUCUCAUUGUGCAAUUUAUCUAUGCUGUUAUUUCCUCAUCUUAUGACUUAUUAUGUUGCAUCUCAAUAGGGCCCGAACCUUUCCUCGUCACUACCCAACCGAGGUUAUGCUUGGCACUUACUGAGUACCGCUAUGGUGUACUCAUGCCUCUUCUGCGCAUGUUUUUCAUGUGCAGAUCUAGGUACUUCAUCUCAGGCGCACUAUCAUCGAGGCGGAGAGAUAUAGCGGAGACUUGAGGUAUAUAUAUAGCAUCCAUAGACCGAAGAGUUUUAUCAAGGUACUUCAUCUCAGGUGCAUUAUCCUUUAGGCCAGGAGAACUACAGAGACUUUGAGGUACUUCUGCAGCGUCCGCAGACCGAAGAGUUUCUUUCCUUAUUCUAUCUGUAGUGUUUUGAUUCUAUCAUACUUUGAUGUAAUCAUUCUGGUGAUUAGAGCAUUUACAGUAUUUCUUUUAGCCUGUGUUUCCCAUGGGUUUUCC
rnacentral:lncRNA from 1 species